GCGUCGGUGGUAUAGCGGCUAGGACGUUUGCCUACCAUGCAUAUGGUCCGGGGUUCGAGCCCACGCCGGCGCA
rnacentral:tRNA from 1 species